rnacentral:rRNA from 1 species
CAAGGAAUUUUCCGCAAUGGGCGCAAGCCUGACGGAGCAACGCCGCGUGCCGGAAGACGGCCUUCGGGUUGUAAACGGCUUUUGCCGGGGAAGAUGAUGACGGUACCCGGCGAAUAAGCCCCGGCUAACUCCGUGCCAGCAGCCGCGGUAAGACGGAGGGGGCAAGCGUUGUUCGGAAUUACUGGGCGUAAAGGGCGCGUAGGCGGCACAUCAAGUCAGAGGUGAAAGCCCCGGGCUCAACCUGGGAAUUGCCUUUGAAACUGAUGAGCUAGAGUCCGGAAGAGGAUAGCGGAAUUCCCAGUGUAGAGGUGAAAUUCGUAGAUAUUGGGAAGAACACCAGUGGCGAAGGCGGCUAUCUGGUCCGGUACUGACGCUGAGGCGCGAAAGCGUGGGGAGCAAACAGGAUUAGAUACCCCGGUAGUCC